UGCGUAUGGGGCAAGCGUUAUCCGGAUUUACUGGGUGUAAAGGGAGCGUAGGCGGCGGGGCAAGCCUGAUGUGAAAGCCCGGGGCUCAACCCCGGGACUGCAUUGGGAACUGCCCUGCUGGAGUGCCGGAGGGGCAGGCGGAAUUCCUAGUGUAGCGGUGAAAUGCGUAGAUAUUAGGAGGAACACCAGUGGCGAAGGCGGCCUGCUGGACGGUGACUGACGCUGAGGCUCGAAAGCGUGGGGAGCAAACAGG
rnacentral:rRNA from 1 species